rnacentral:rRNA from 1 species
GGGCGUAGCAAUACGUCAGUGGCAGACGGGUGAGUAACGCGUGGGAACGUACCUUUUGGUUCGGAACAACACAGGGAAACUUGUGCUAAUACCGGAUAAGCCCUUACGGGGAAAGAUUUAUCGCCGAAAGAUCGGCCCGCGUCUGAUUAGCUAGUUGGUGAGGUAACGGCUCACCAAGGCGACGAUCAGUAGCUGGUCUGAGAGGAUGAUCAGCCACAUUGGGACUGAGACACGGCCCAAACUCCUACGGGAGGCAGCAGUGGGGAAUAUUGGACAAUGGGCGAAAGCCUGAUCCAGCCAUGCCGCGUGAGUGAUGAAGGCCCUAGGGUUGUAAAGCUCUUUUGUGCGGGAAGAUAAUGACGGUACCGCAAGAAUAAGCCCCGGCUAACUUCGUGCCAGCAGCCGCGGUAAUACGAAGGGGGCUAGCGUUGCUCGGAAUCACUGGGCGUAAAGGGUGCGUAGGCGGGUUUCUAAGUCAGAGGUGAAAGCCUGGAGCUCAACUCCAGAACUGCCUUUGAUACUGGAAGUCUUGAGUAUGGCAGAGGUGAGUGGAACUGCGAGUGUAGAGGU